GGGGGUAUCGUCUAGUGGUUAGGAUAUGGGCUUUUCAAGCCUACGACGGGAGUUCAAUUCUCCCUACCCCUA
rnacentral:tRNA from 1 species